UACGAAGGGGGCUAGCGUUGCUCGGAAUCACUGGGCGUAAAGGGUGCGUAGGCGGGUUCUUAAGUCAGAGGUGAAAUCCCGGAGCUCAACUCCAGAACUGCCUUUGAUACUGAGAGUCUUGAGUUCGGGAGAGGUGAGUGGAACUGCGAGUGUAGAGGUGAAAUUCGUAGAUAUUCGCAAGAACACCAGUGGCGAAGGCGGCUCACUGGCCCGAUACUGACGCUGAGGCACGAAAGCGUGGGGAGCAAACAGG
rnacentral:rRNA from 1 species